AAUGAACGCUGGCGGCGUGCCUAACACAUGCAAGUCGAACGAGAAAGUCCUUCGGGAUGAGUAAAGUGGCGAACGGGUGUAUAAUAUAUAGGAAUCUGCCUUUUGGUGUGGAGUACCUCCGAGAAAUCGGGGCUAAUACCGCAUAGUUCCCUACGGGGAUAAAGACGGCCUCUUUGCUGUCGCCAAAAGAUGAGCCUAUACGCUAUUAGCUAGUUGGCAGGGUAAUGGCCUACCAAGGCAAAGAUGGCUAGCCGGCCUGAGAGGGUGUCCGGCCACACUGGGAUUGAGAUACGGCCCAGACUCCUACGGGAGGCAGCAGUGGGGGAUUUUGCACAAUGGGCGAAAGCCUGGUGCAGCGACGCCGCGUGAAGGAUGAAGGUCUUCGGAUUGUAAACUUCUGUUAAACGGGAAGAAAUCUUUGUAAAUAAUACGUGCAAAGGAUGACGGUACCGUUAGAGAAAGCUCCGGCUAACUUCGUGCCAGCAGCCGCGGUAAGACGAAGGGAGCAAGCGUUAUUCGGAAUUACUGGGCGUAAAGAGCGUGUAGGUGGUUAAUUAAGUCAGUUGUACAAUCUCCCGGCCUAACCGGGAAACCGCAAUUGAUACUGAUUGGCUAGAGGACAAGAGAGAGAAGUGGAAUUCUCGGAGUAGCGGUAAAAUGCGUAGAUCUCGAGAGGAACACCGGUUGCGAAGGCGGCUUCUUGGCUUGAUCCUGACACUAAAGCGCGAAAGCGUGGGGAGCAAACAGGAUUAGAUACCCUGGUAGUCCACGCCGUAAACGAUGAUCACUAGAUGUGGGUCUUUAUUAUUAAGAUCCGUGUCGAAGCUAACGCGUUAAGUGAUCCGCCUGGGGAGUACGGUCGCAAGAUUAAAACUUAAAGAAAUUGACGGGGGUCCGCACAAGCGGUGGAACAUGUGGUUUAAUUCGACACUACGCGAGGAACCUUACCUGGGCUUGACAUGUAAUUGACCGCCAUAGAAACAUGGUUUUCCAAGUUUUACUUGGACAGUUACACAGGUGCUGCAUGGCUGUCGUCAGCUCGUGUCGUGAGAUGUUGGGUUAAGUCCUUUAACGAGCGCAACCCUUGCUGUCAGUUGCUACCCUUCGGGGGCACUCUGAUGGGACUGCCUAGGAAACUAGGAGGAAGGUGGGGAUGACGUCAAGUCCGCAUGGCCUUUAUGUCCAGGGCUACACACGUGUUACAAUGGCUAGUACAAAGGGAUGCAGAGCCGUGAGGUGAAGCAAAUCUCAAAAAACUAGUCUAAGUUCAGAUUGAAGUCUGCAACUCGACUUCAUGAAGUUGAAAUCGCUAGUAAUCGCAUAUCAGAACGAUGCGGUGAAUACGUUCUCGGACCUUGUACACACCGCCCGUCACACCACGAAAAUUGUCUACACCCGAAAUUGUCUUAGCUAACUUGAAUAAAGAGGCGGAUAAUGAAGGUGAGGGGAAUGAUUGGGGUG
rnacentral:rRNA from 1 species